rnacentral:misc_RNA from 1 species
ACUUCUCAACUGCCUUCCGGGUUUGCGCCCGGCGGUGAAGUUGGACUUGGAGGCUUUUCGCCGGUGGCUCUAGUCAGCCGUCCGGCCCCUCCGAAAUGCAUGAGCUACUUCCGAUUGGCAGUACAGCGGCCCCGACGUGAUAAUUAUCUGCGCCGGAACGGUCCCUCUGUCUCGGUGGGCUUUACAACGAGAAGCCCGGGUUUUUCGGAACCUGGCCUUGACCA